rnacentral:ncRNA from 2 species
ACUUUUACUCGCGAUACUGGUUACCAAUAUUUAAUAUAUAAGUAUUGAUUUAAAAGGGAAUUUGGUGAAAGGCCAAAACUGUACCCGCAACUGUAUGCUUAGUCUGUUUUUAGCAGAUGUUUAUUGUUAAACUUUGUACCACUGUUCGUAAGAAUGGGAAGGUGAACAAUAAAACGCAAGUCAGGAUACCUGCCAUUAUCAUUUGAAUAAC